rnacentral:rRNA from 2 species
UAGAUACCCUGGUAGUCCACGCCCUAAACGAUGUCUACUAGUUGUCGGGUCUUAAUUGACUUGGUAACGCAGCUAACGCGUGAAGUAGACCGCCUGGGGAGUACGGUCGCAAGAUUAAAACUCAAAGGAAUUGACGGGGACCCGCACAAGCGGUGGAUGAUGUGGAUUAAUUCGAUGCAACGCGAAAAACCUUACCUACCCUUGACAUGUACAGAAUCCCGAAGAGAUUUGGGAGUGUUCGAAAGAAAACUGUAACACAGGUGCUGCAUGGCUGUCGUCAGCUCGUGUCGUGAGAUGUUGGGUUAAGUCCCGCAACGAGCGCAACCCUUGUCAUUAGUUGCUACGAAAGGGCACUCUAAUGAGACUGCCGGUGACAAACCGGAGGAAGGUGGGGAUGACGUCAAGUCCUCAUGGCCCUUAUGGGUAGGGCUUCACACGUCAUACAAUGGUACAUACAGAGGGCCGCCAACCCGCGAGGGGGAGCUAAUCCCAGAAAGUGUAUCGUAGUCCGGAUUGUAGUCUGCAACUCGACUACAUGAAGUUGGAAUCGCUAGUAAUCGCGGAUCAGCAUGUCGCGGUGAAUACGUUCCCGGGUCUUGUACACACCGCCCGUCACACCAUGGGAGCGGGUUUUACCAGAAGUAGGUAGC